UACAGAGGUGGGCAAGCGUUAAUCGGAAUUACUGGGCGUAAAGCGCGCGUAGGCGGCUGUCUAAGUCGGGUGUGAAAGCCCCGGGCUCAACCUGGGAACUGCAUUCGAUACUGGACGGCUAGAGUAUGAGAGAGGGAGGUAGAAUUCCACGUGUAGCGGUGAAAUGCGUAGAUAUGCGGAGGAAUACCCGGUGGCGAAGGCGGCCUCCUGGUUCAAUACUGACGCUGAGGUGCGAAAGCGUGGGGAGCAAACAGG
rnacentral:rRNA from 1 species